rnacentral:lncRNA from 1 species
GUUUUUAAGAUUUACGUGCACCCCAUGUCAUUAAUCCCUUCCUAAGCUGAUUUUCCUUCGUAAAUAUAUAUUACACUUAACACUUAAACACACAUAUUUCAAAGAUUUAUUCCAAAACAAAAAUGAGAAAUGAAUGAAACUCAAAUCAAAAUGGAGAAAUAAAGAGUGGAGGUGAAAAUAACCAGAAAAUUUACAAUAAUGCUAUGGAGGAAAAGAAGAUAAGUGACUGAAGGAAAUGAGGACUCAGGGAAAAGACUCCUAUUGGAAGAAGGAACUAAGUUACCAUUUUGAAAUUUCAAGAAAGAAACUGAUGGAUCUGAAAUGGGUGUAUGUAUCUCUGUUAGCAACCCAAACUACUGUUUGAACAGAGAUUUUAUUAUACCAAAUGCUUAUGUAAUACUUGGAUGAAGAAGAUGAAGAUUUCAUGAGUAGAAAAAAAAAAAUGAGAAAUAUGAAGGUACUGUUCCAGUAAGGGCUAUCACACUUCGAGGGGCUGCAGAAAUUAAUCGACGGGAAGGACCAUCAAGACGACUUUUUGUGAUGCUGAGUUUCAAGCCAAACGUGAGAAAGGGCUUUGCUUUUGUUGUGAGGAAAAAUUUUGUGCAGGCCAUAGAUGUAAGGUGAAGGAUCAGAAGGAACUCAGAGUGUUAGUUGUUCAAGCAAAUGGGGAGGAAUUGGAAGUAGUGGAAGAUGAUGAUCGUAUAGACGAACUUGAGGUAAAAGCUAUUGAACUUGAUAUAGAACAAAAAGAACCAGUGAUAGAACUGUUAUUAACUUCAUGGAACACCGGAUUAAAUGCGAUAUCAAGUGCUGCUUGAUUAUCACACCACAAUUUUGCUGGUGUGGUGAUUUCAAAUCCCAACUCAACAAUAGUCAAAAAGUUGAUAUAUCCAAAUCAAUUUGAUAUAUCCAAUUCACACAAAAACUGUGCAAUUGCUCUAUAUUUUUUAUUAUGCACUUGAACGUGACACCACAUUUUGUUUCUUACUUUUCCAAGACAUCAAAUUGCCACCAACAAAAACAAAAUAUCCUGAAGUUGAUCUUCUGUCUUCUUUAGAUUUUACCAAUUAACAUCUGAGAAACAUUCAAUAUUAGUAUCUAUAAUCCUUAUAUAAUAAAACCAUGCCCGAGAGCAGCCUUCAGAUAACACUGAAUCAUUCCAAAGCAGUUGAAUGAUCAACUUUAGGGCAUGACAUACACUGGCUCAUAAUACUCACUAAAUAGGCUAUGUCGAGUCGAGUCACUGGAAGGUAAUUAAGUUUUCCCUCUAACCUCCUAUAUCUUUCAAAAUCUUUCAACAAUUCUCCAUCUUUUGUGAGCUAUAAGUUAGGCAUCGUUGGGGUACUACAUGGCUUAGCCCCUACCUUCCAUGUUUCAGUCAACAACUCCAUAUUUUCUCUGUGAUAAUAGUAUUGCCUGUUUUUACCUCAAAUUCCUAGGAGGUAUUUCAACAUGCUCAAAUCUUUUAUUUGGAAUUGGCAAUAGAGAAAUGUCUUGAGGGACUGGAUAUCUAAAGCAUCAUCACCAACAACCACAAUUGCAUCAACACAUACUGCUAUUAGGAUCACCCCACUCUCGGAUCUUUUAAAAAAGAUUGAAUGAUCUAACGUGCUCUUUUGCAUUCCAAAAAUUUUGAUCACCUUAAUACAUUUUCCAAACGAAGCCAUGCCUUUCCAUUCUUCCCCUGAGCAACAAACCCUAGUGGUUGCUCCAUAUACACCCCUUCUUGAGGAUCACCAUGAAGAAAUGUAAGGACCCUAGAUAGAAAAAUAGUGGAUUAUUAGGAGAAAAUGAAAAUGGUUGUUAGUAAGGUCAUAUAGUAAAUAGAUGGUAAGUUGGUUAGUUCUUUUUGUUAUAAAUAGUGGGAGAGGGGUUGGAGAGAGGUGUGAAGAAUUUUGAGAAAGUUUUCCUUGUAAGGGAACCUUAGGAGGGUCUAACCCUUUCAAAAGACUAGAGUUACUUGUUACUUGUUACUUGUUAUUAAGAUCUUCUAAUAUAUAUUUCAUGUUUGGAUGUUUUUUAAGUAUUCUUGAGUUCAUCUUUUCUCCUUGAGGUAAUCCUUGUUAGGUGGGAUCCUAACAAAUUGGUAUCAGAGCCGUAACAUCUUGGGGAUGACACGGGCUUGGAUGCAAAAACAAAUGGAGGAGAGGUUGGAGAAGAAUGAGAAGGACAUUAGGGAACUUAAAGAUGUAACUUUGGAGUUGUCCAAAAGCAUCGAAAGGCUGGCAGAGGAAUUACGAGAAAACAAUGUUAGUUGCCGACGGUAAGAAUCUGCUACGUCGGAGGGAUCAGUGUUGAAAAUGAAAGGAAAGAUGGAAGAAGACUCGACCGCAGUUGAGAGAGGGACUUGGGAGCAAGCACUUAAAUGGGCUGCUAAUUGCAAACUUGAGGUGGAUGAGAGGGGAGAAACUCCAUGGACAUGGCCCAUGGGAGCAUAUGCAGAAAUGGAUUGUGGAUUGCAAGGCAGAAAGAAUACAGAGGAGUGCUAAAACAAUACAUCCAAAGCUUUCUGAAGGGCUGCAAAGAGAUAAAGAAAGAGCGGAGAAGAAACUAGAAAAAAUUAAAGUUGAAGAAAAACAGAAAUGGAACAAUGACUUGAAGAUGAAGGAAUCGAAGAACGACCAUGAAAAAAGAUGAAGGGAAGAGGAAGCCAAAUCUAACUGUGUAUUCCCAUGGCCGACGACUAAGGGUGAGGUGGUCAGAGACAAACACUUGGUGGAAAUGGAAACACCGAAUAGAGAAGGCGGAAGCAUGGAAAGGAGGCAAACACUAUGGAUGAGAAGGAAGGCAAAGAAACGAUUGAGGAAGCGAUCAUUGAUACUUGGUGGUAGUGAAGAAAACAAAAAGAAGAAUCAAACAGUACCUAUGUGGAACAAGUCGACCUGGAUACGAUCUGUGAAAAUAGAAGAAACGGCUCAUUGGAGUGGCAGCAUUGAGAGGCUGAUCAUAUAUAUAGGCCAAGAUUUUGUUGAGGUACGUUACUUUCCUUGCCUUUCUUUUGUGGCGUCCGAGUUAUAUCAAAGUAGGGAAGGGAUGAGGAAGCUAGGCAAUGAAGAAGAUGAACAAAGGAAUUUCAAAGGUCAUCAGAGUAAGAUAGAAUGGGUAACGACAAGGAAGAAAAUGGCAAUGGAAUUAGUACAGGGAUCAUGGAGAGGCUGGUGAAUGGAAACAUAUUGGGUUGUGAUAGAAAAUCGAGGCGGGGAUGAACAGAAACCGCGGCGGAGGAAAGAUUCUGAGUCGGUCACCGGUGGCCAAAAAAAAGAAGAAGAUGGAUUGUCGAAAAGUCCAGUUACAGGAAGAGGAGAUGGAGACAGGGUGCGUUGGAGGUAGUCGACCCGCACAAAGGGAGUUUGUCGGAACGCGGAUAGCAACGAGGCUGCAAGUGAGAUCGGAAAUUGUCGGGAAGAAUGCUUUGAUAUUUGCAGAGGGAGUGAGCAGCUACGGACAAAAAAAAUUCAGAAAGGAGGGGGAAGAUUUCUUGAAGAAAAACGAUUCUUCAACCCACGUGAAGCGUCAGACGUUAAGGCGUAGAGACAGUAGUAGUUAUGAUUUGUUUAAUGGGCUGAAAUUAAAUGAAAAAUGGCCAGAUUUUCUCAAAUGGGCUUGGCUUAGGUGGAGAAAUUGGGGAUCAAAUUCCUAAUAAAUGGCCAGGAAAACAAAGUGGAGGCUAGGAGAAGGAUUGGCACAUGCAAACCUCAAUGGUUAAAGUAUAUCACGUGGGAUGGCAAUUAGGGAAAGAAUUUAAUCAAAAGUGGCCAAAAUGUUGCUUUUUGGGCUGAUUGAAAAAGUAAGGGAUGAGGCCCAUUAUACCUCAAAGAAAAAAUAAAUUGACGGCUUUAUCUAAGGAAGUGGAAAUCCUAUUGGAAUAUGGAUGGUGGGCCAAACAUGAGAUGAUAACAAAAAAAUACAGCCUUCAUAAAGAAAGAAAGGAAAUUAAUGUGCUUGAAUUUGCUAAAUUCAUUGAGACCCAUUUGUUAGUGUGGCUGAAAUGUAACUUGAAAAUGGAUAGGAAUUGCCUGAAGCUCAUUGGUAAUUCUAAGAAAGAUGGUGUAUGGGCCGUGAAAUUGAUUUGGGGAUGGGGUCAUAAAGUUAAUUGUGGGCUUAGCCCAUUAGAGAGGAAGAGCUUCAAAUUAAAAUGCAAGUGGCAUGGAAUUAGGCUCAGGGAAUGGCAGUUGGUUAAUUGGGAUCACUUUCCGUGUGAGAAGAAUGAAGAUUGGGGAAGUUCUUGGAGUCUAAAGGGUUGGAUGCAUGCAAGUGUAAUUAUUACAACCCAAUAGAAUUUCAAGCAAAGCUGAAUAAAAUUUCUUCCGAGAUGGCAGGGGUAUGGUAGAGAGAGUUCAAGGUUUGUAGUUUGUAAGCACACCUUGAGGACAAGGUGUCUUCGAAGGGCGGAGUAAUGUAAGGACCCUAGAUAGAAAAAUAGUGAAUUAUUAGGAGAAAAUGAAAAUGGUUGUUAGUAAGGUCAUAUAGUAAAUAGAUGGUAAGUUGGUUAGGUCUUUUUGUUAUAAAUAGUGGGAGAGGGGUUGGAGAGAGUGUGAAGAAUUUUGAGAAAGUUUUCCUUGUAAGGGAACCUUAGGAGAGUCUAACCCUCUCAAAAGGCUAGGGUUACUUGUUACUUGUUACUAAGAUCUUCUAAUAUAUAUUUCAUGUUUGGAUGUUUUUUAAGUAUUCUUGAGUUCAUCUUUUCUUCUUGAGGUAAUCCUUAUUAGGUGGGAUCCUAACAAAAUGCACUUUUAAUAUCAAGCUGAUGUAAAAAAGUUGGAAACAAAUAUUGAACCUCUCCUCUCCUCUCACCCACCCUCUUCUCUCUUCAUUCCGGCCACACCUUCUCACGGGUGACGUCGCGGCAACGCCAACCCGGGGAUACAACUCCAUCUUUUUCAGAAAUGGAAGUCAAAAGUUGAAAAAUGGUAGACACUUUCUACUGUAUCUAGUUCAAAAAAGGGAGGUUCAAUAUUGAAAAUGUAGACUUCCAAAAAAUCCUCACUUUAUCCAAGAUCCAAUUAGAGUGGUUCAUUGAUUCAAUAGAUGUUCUUGUAAAGAACCAAACUGGAAGUUUUUUCAACAAAUAUGCGAGUGAUGAAAACCGAAACAACAAAGCUAUCCAAUUCUGAACCCCAUCUGAUUGGUUUCUGAGGUGUGUUGCUCGAAACUUCUCUGGAAUACAAUCCUUCAUCCAUCUACUCAUGAGAAACCAGACAAGGUUGGGUCUCCUUCCUCAAUAUGAUCAGGUCCUUUUUAUUGACUCAUAAUUACACCUCCUUUUCAAAAAUAUCAAGCUGAUGUAAAGGCCAGUGACUGAUUGAAGUUAGUGAAAUAAACAACCUCACAAAUGUCAUUUUACUACUGGAGAAAAAGUAUCAACAUAGUUAACGCCAUGUUUGUGCGUAGCCUUUCACUACAAGGUGUACUUUUAUGAGCGACAAAACCAUCAGGAUUAACUUUAAUUGUAACCACCCAUUUGCAACUGAUAUACUUUUUUCGUGCAGGAGAGAAACUAAAUCCCAAGUACAAUUAUCGUCUAAUGUAAUCAUCUCCUCCACCAUUGCAAACACCAACAAGAUGAGAAUAGGCUUAAUGAUACAAACUCUAAUGAUGCAAUGAAAGAACAUGCAGAAGACAACUAAUGGUUAUAUGAAACAGAAGAGGAAAUAAGAUGAGCACACUUAAGUUUACCUUUACGAAGAGCAAUAGGAAGAUCAUCACUCAUUUCUGGAUCCAAUGACGAAGAAGCCUUAGGGGUAGGGCAUGGAAUUGAAGAAGGUUGUCGUCGAUCAUAGACUUCAGUGAUGGGUUGACAAAUAGAAGUAAACACACGUGAAGAUGAACCACAAAGAGGAUUAGAAGGAGAGAUAACAUUGUAGAUAAAGAAAUCAUCCUUUGACUCUUGAUACUCCUCGACUCAUAUUCGAAGAGAAAGAAGGUGAGGAAUAAAAGGAGGAAUGUUCAAAGAACGAGAAUAACCAAAAAGAUAUAUUUUAAGGUCUUUGGAUCCAACUUUGUAUGUUGAGGCCGAACGUCUUGGACAAAUCAAGUAUAACCAAUUAUUUUGGGUGGAAUGAGAAACAAAUGUUGUUUGGGGCAUAAGAUACAAAAAGGUAUCUCACCCUUAAAAAUGGAAGAGGGCAUGCAAUUUGUUAAGAAACGGGCUAUGGAAACAUCAGCCCAAAAGAAAUUGGAAAAUUCAUUUGAAACAUUAGGAACUAGUGGUUUAAAAAGGAUGACGAUUCUUUCAUUUUGCAAACCCACUGACUUCAUGAAAUUAAUAAAUAGAAGUGUGAAAGUAACAUAGACAUGAAUAUAUAAGCUAGAGCAAAGGCAUGACUACUAUACCUGACUACCAUUACAUAGCGCUAAAAGAAAUUGUAAUUUUCUUUUUCAUUCAAUAUGUAAUUUGACGUAAUAGUAAUAGUAAUUCCUCUUUCAAACACCUCUUUUUUUUCAACAAAGAGGACAAGGCUUAUGAUCCCUAAAUCGUUAGCAAUUAAGAUGCAGCAAAUAAGGUAGCUAAGAUGCAGAAAAUAAGAAAACACCCCAAAUCACUACAGUGCAUAAGAAAUCUAUCACAUAAGCACAAAGAUAAAUACUGAGAGUAUUAGUUGAAACUUAGCAAACACAGGGCAAACUAUUAUUUAACGUGCUAGUUUAAAUAUAUAUCUAAACUAAACUACACAAGUAUUUCAAACUGGCAAAACUAAAAUUAGGUUUAUAGAAACAACGUGUCCUCAUCCUUUCUCCUAAGGAAUGCUAUUCAUUAUGAUUUUAUCUUUUGAGUUUUAAAAAUAUGCUAUUUAUUAUUCAUAUCUUUUCUCGUGCUAUCUAGAAGCUAACCAAACAACAUAGAGAAAGUACAUUUGUAUCACUAAUCAAUAUUUGAAAUGAUGACGCAGAUUAAAUAAUACAGAAUUCAGAAAGUAGAACUUGCCUGCUAGCUGACUUCAGCUGCUCCCUGAGUUCCUUGAACUUGAGGUUUCUCAUGUUCUCAACAGUGAAAACAAAACUGAGUUGUAAUUUUCCACACCCUGCCUGAUCGAUUCCACCAUUGAUUUCUUGUGGUCCCUUCCUUUUCUUCUUUGUUUUGAUAAAGUAACUGCAUUUAUCCCACGAACAAUUAGAUAGAAGACUUAAAACACUAAUCUGCAUAGGACUAAGUUCAUAUUUUUCCUCUUUAAAACACUAAUCUGCAUAGGACUAAGUUCAUAUUUUCCUCUUUCUUUUUAAGUUAAAAACCACAUGAGUUUGACAAUGAUUACUACCACCACAAGUCAUUUAACUUCUUCAACUGCCUCAUACUUUUCACAAGAAACUGCAUCAUACAAAUUAACCCAUAAUAAAGCUAUCCAAAUUCCGAACCCCAUCUGAUUGGUUCUGAAAUCAGUAACUCUCAUGGAAGGAAAAACAUUUAUUAAUAAAAAUCAACUUUGUUACUAGUUUCUAAAAACACUCUCAAAUAUGUCUUCCAUAACCUGGUUUAAGUUUUGCAGAAAAAUGACUAAUGGCUGGGAUACUCAUGCCAUGGAGUGGCAAAAAAGAGGCUGAGCUUUGUAUUUGAAGUAUUAUGUUGAUGAAGACAUGUAAAAGGUCUUAUGAACAUUUCAAUUUAACUUUUGUCUCUUGAGUACUGUAGCUUUAGACUGAUGAUUAUUUUCUAGUUUGUCUCUACACGAAAAACCAGUUUGUCCAUUUGUACUUUUAAUUGUCAGCCUUUCAAAGCUUGUCAAUACAUCAUUUUUAAAGAUUUACGUGCACCCCAUGUCAUUAAUCCUUCUAAGCUGAUUUUCUUCGUAAAUAUAUAUUACACUUAACACUUAAAACACACAUAUUUCAAAGAUUUAUUCCAAAACAAAAAUGAGAAUGAAUGAAACUCAAAUCAAAAUGGAGAAAUAAAGAGUGGAGGUGAAAAUAACCAGAAAAUUUACAAUAAU